GACGAACCUUGCUAACGUUAUUCGGAAUUACUGGGCUUAAAGGGUGCGUAGGCGGGUCUUUAAGUCAGGGGUGAAAUCCUGGAGCUCAACUCCAGAACUGCCUUUGAUACUGAAGAUCUUGAGUUCGGGAGAGGUGAGUGGAACUGCGAGUGUAGAGGUGAAAUUCGUAGAUAUUCGCAAGAACACCAGUGGCGAAGGCGGCUCACUGGCCCGAUACUGACGCUGAGGCACGAAAGCGUGUGGAGCAAACAGG
rnacentral:rRNA from 1 species